AGUGAACGCUGGCGGUAGGCCUAACACAUGCAAGUCGAACGGCAGCACAGUAAGAGCUUGCUCUUACGGGUGGCGAGUGGCGGACGGGUGAGGAAUACAUCGGAAUCUACUUUUUCGUGGGGGAUAACGUAGGGAAACUUACGCUAAUACCGCAUACGACCUACGGGUGAAAGCAGGGGAUCUUCGGACCUUGCGCGAUUGAAUGAGCCGAUGUCGGAUUAGCUAGUUGGCUGGGUAAAGGCCCACCAAGGCGACGAUCCGUAGCUGGUCUGAGAGGAUGAUCAGCCACACUGGAACUGAGACACGGUCCAGACUCCUACGGGAGGCAGCAGUGGGGAAUAUUGGACAAUGGGCGCAAGCCUGAUCCAGCCAUACCGCGUGGGUGAAGAAGGCCUUCGGGUUGUAAAGCCCUUUUGUUAGGAAAGAAAAGCAGCAGGUUAAUACCCCGCUGUUCUGACGGUACCCAAAGAAUAAGCACCGGCUAACUUCGUG
rnacentral:rRNA from 1 species